rnacentral:ncRNA from 1 species
AAAAGUUUUAUUUUUGUUUUAAAAAUUAAAUUAAAUUUUAAUUUAUAUGGAAAUUUUUGUAUAAAAAUAUAUUAUUUUUUAAUAAAAUAAUUAAAAUUUUAUUCCCAGUAAAUAAUUUUAGUUAGUUAAUGAAAGUUAGAAUUAGUGGAGUUUAUUGUUCUAACAAAAUUUGUGCCAGCAGUUGCGGUUAUACAAAUAGGGCAAUUUAAUUAAUAUAAAUUUUAAAGAGUAAUAAAGAAAAGAUUUAAUUAACAGAUUAUUAGGUGAAAUUUUUAAUUUGUGGGAAAAUUUUAUUAUUAUAAUUUAAGAAAAUUUUUUAUUAGACUAGGAUUAGAUACCCUAUUAUUAGGAUUGUGAAAUUUAAAUUUGAUUAGUAAUUGAUAUGAUCAUGAAAAUUAAUAAAUUUGGCGGUAUUUUAGUCUAUUCAGAGGAACCUGUCCUGUAAACGAUAAUCCACGAGUUAAAUAAUCUUAUUUAUUAGUUUGUAUAUCGUUGUAGUUAGAUUAUUUUUGAAGAAUUAAAAUAUUCAAGAUUUAUUUUUUAAAGGAAUUCAAAUCAAGGUAUAGCUUAUAAUAAGAGAGAGAUGGGUUACAAUUUUUUAAAUGAAAGGAUUGAAAUUUUGAAAAAAUUUAUGAAUAUGGAUUUGAUUGUAAUUUAAAAUAAAUUUUUUAGAUGAUUUUAGCUCUAAAAUAUGUACAUAUCGCCCGUCGCUUUCAUUAUAAAAUGAAAUAAGUCGUAACAAAGUAGAUUUACUGGAAAGUGUAUCUAGAAAGAU